GACGAACGCUGGCGGCGUGCUUAACACAUGCAAGUCGAACGAAGUGGCGAACGGGUGAGUAACGCGUAAUCAACCUGCCCUUCAGAGGGGGACAACAGUUGGAAACGACUGCUAAUACCGCAUACGGAAGGAGGGGAUUGCGUCUGAUUCGCUAGUUGGAGGGGUAACGGCCAACCAAGGCGAUGAUCAGUAGCCGGGCUGGGAGUGUGAACGGCCACCUUGGGACUGGGACACGGCCCAGACUCCUUCGGGAGGCAGCCGUGGGGAAUCUUCCGCAAUGGAGGAAAGUCUGACUGAGCAACGCCGCGUUAGUGGUGACGGCCUUCGGGUUGUAAAGCUCUGUUAAUCGGGACGCGGUACCGGAAUAGAAAGCAACGGCUAACUACGUGCCAGCAGCCGCGGUAAUAC
rnacentral:rRNA from 1 species